CCCGCUGAACUUAAGCAUAUCAAUAAGCGGAGGAAAAGAAACCAACCGGGAUUGCCUCAGUAACGGCGAGUGAAGCGGCAAGAGCUCAAAUUUGAAAUCUGGCCCCCUCGGGGGUCCGAGUUGUAAUUUGGAGAGGAUGCUUCGGGUUCGGUCCCGGUCCAAGUGCCCUGGGACGGGCCGUCGGAGAGGGUGAGAAUCCCGUCUGCGACCGGUGACUGGGCCUGGGUGAAGCUCCCUCGACGAGUCGAGUUGUUUGGGAAUGCAGCUCUAAAUGGGUGGUAAAUUUCAUCUAAAGCUAAAUAUGGGCCGGAGACCGAUAGCGCACAAGUAGAGUGAUCGAAAGAUGAAAAGCACUUUGGAAAGAGAGUUAAACAGUACGUGAAAUUGUUGAAAGGGAAACGUUUGAAAUCAGUCGUGCGGGCGGGUAAUCAGCUUGGCCUUUGGGUCUUGUGCACUUACUCGUCUCGCAGGCCAGCGUCGGUUUUGUUUGCCGGAUAAAUGCCAAUGGAAUGUAGCUCAACCUUUUACGAGGAGGGGUGUUAUAGCCCUGGUAAAUACGGCGGUCGAGACCGAGGUCUGCAGUUGAUGCCUCUCGGGGCUGGGGACUCCAUCGCUCAUUCGCACCCGCGCCUAGACAGCUUGCUGACUAGGUGUGUGGUCUGUGGGUGACACGGUGGCCUACCACACAUCGACUUGGGUCGCUGGCGUAAUGGUUUUAAAUGACCCGUCUUGAAACACGG
rnacentral:rRNA from 1 species